AUACGUAGGUGACAAGCGUUAUCCGGAUUUACUGGGCGUAAAGGGCGUGUAGGCGGUCUUGCAAGUCAGAAGUGGAAUUCCUGAGCUCAACUCGGGCGCUGCUUCUGAAACUGCAGGACUUGAGUGCUGGAGGGGAUAGCGGAAUUCCUAGUGGAGCGGUAAAAUGCGCAGAUAUUAGGAAGAACACCGGUGGCGAAGGCGGCUAUCUGGACAGUAACUGACGCUGAGGCGCGAAAGCGUGGGGAGCAAACAGGAUUAGAUACCCUGGUAGUCCACGCUAUAAACGAUGAGUGCUAGGUGUCGGGGGUCAAACCUCGGUGCCGCAGUUAACACAUUAAGCACUCCGCCUGGGGAGUACGGCCGCAAGGCUGAAACUCAAAUGAAUUGACGGGG
rnacentral:rRNA from 1 species